ACCGUAUUCUGUGAGUUGCGAACGGGUGAGUAACGCGUAGGUAACCUGCCUGGUAGCGGGGGAUAACUAUUGGAAACGAUAGCUAAUACCGCAUAAGAACAUUUACUGCAUGGUAGAUGUUUAAAAGGUGCAAAAGCAUCACUACCAGAUGGACCUGCGUUGUAUUAGCUAGUUGGUGAGGUAACGGCUCACCAAGGCAACGAUACAUAGCCGACCUGAGAGGGUGAUCGGCCACACUGGGACUGAGACACGGCCCAGACUCCUACGGGAGGCAGCAGUAGGGAAUCUUCGGCAAUGGGGGGAACCCUGACCGAGCAACGCCGCGUGAGUGAAGAAGGUUUUCGGAUCGUAAAGCUCUGUUGUUAAGGAAGAACGUGUGUGAGAGUGGAAAGUUCACACAGUGACGGUACUUAACCAGAAAGGGACGGCUAACUACGUGCCAGCAGCCGCGGUAAUACGUAGGUCCCGAGCGUUGUCCGGAUUUAUUGGGCGUAAAGCGAGCGCAGGCGGUUAGAUGAGUCUGAAGUGAAAGGCAGUGGCUCAACCAUUGUAGGCUUUGGAAACUGUUUAACUUGAGUGCAGAAGGGGAGAGUGGAAUUCCAUGUGUAGCGGUGAAAUGCGUAGAUAUAUGGAGGAACACCGGUGGCGAAAGCGGCUCUCUGGUCUGUAACUGACGCUGAGGCUCGAAAGCGUGGGGAGCGAACAGGAUUAGAUACCCUGGUAGUCCACGCCGUAAACGAUGAGUGCUAGGUGUUAGGUCCUUUCCGGGACUUAGUGCCGCAGCUAACGCAUUAAGCACU
rnacentral:rRNA from 1 species